rnacentral:rRNA from 1 species
UGAGCAACCUGCCCUUAGCUCUGGGAUAACCCCGGGAAACCGGAGCUAAUACCGGAUACGAGUCCGAGCGGCAUCACGCGGACUGGAAAGUUUUUCGGCUAAGGAUGGGCUCGAGGCCUAUCAGCUUGUUGGUGGGGUAAUGGCCUACCAAGGCGACGACGGGUAGCCGGCCUGAGAGGGCGACCGGCCACACUGGGACUGAGACACGGCCCAGACUCCUACGGGAGGCA